GAUAGUGGGAAGGAAGCCCAGUGGGAAGGAAGCUGGAACGAGAUGGUUUUGGCCUAAAUUCGGCUAAUUUUCUCACUGGUGAAACCUUUGAUCUCAAUACAGUUUUCUGUUCCCAAAACUAGAAUCUGUUAAGAACAGAGUGGACUAAGUUUUGCAGUCUUUACUCUUUGCCAAAAAUUGCGUUAAUUAGGAGUGCAAAGCGAAUUUAGUUAUUGCGCACAUGCAUUUCACAGAGUACGUGCUCCCUAACGAAACUAUGCAAAUUCACAAUUUGAUCAAACGGAAACGAAAAUAGAUUUACACCAGUUAACAUUUGGAACACAACGACACUGCUUUUUUGUACACCAUAAUUACUUUAAUUUCCAAUGAAACGCUGCGUUUGCCUUGCAGCAUUGGUGCGAAACUGUAAACGCUUAACAGAAACGUUAGCAGAAGGUGAAUGUUGAACUUUUGUUGCAUACAUUUCCAGAUGAUACUGUAUACGGCAAGAUGUUUUCGUAACAGGACGGACGUUGACAUUGUCGUGUCCUCACGUGAAUAGCAUGACACGCUUUUAAUGUCAAUGCUAAGGCUAGCCGUAGUAGUAGAUAGAACAAUGUCGUGUGUAAUUUCGGGCUAUUCUUUGGGUACUGAAAUCAGUAGGUUUUGAUAAAAACGUAUUUCGAUGUGAAGUCUGUGCUCUAGUUCGCCCACACGAAUGGCCUCUCAACUCUAUCUUAAAUCGUGUCGUUGCGUUUAAUCGGCUAAAUCAAAACCAUGAUUUUCCAAUGAUGAGGGAUAAGAAUUAGUUUUUUUUUAUGGAGAUAUGUAUUUAUCUUUGCUAUAUUUUGCAUGAUGCUCUCUUUCUACAGAUGCAGGCAUUUCUCCUUCCCUGUGGAUUCUAAGUUAUGUUGGCCUGAUCUUGGCAGUGGUUACCUUCUGAAGAUGUGGCAUUCCAUUCUCACUUGAACUAGGCCCCAUGACCUUGUUUCAGCUCCAAGCUGUGACUGGGAGCUUCUACUUUUGCAGGUUUCUGCAUUGGGGGUGCAGUGAACCAGGACCAGGUUCUAGAGCGGCUUGGCACCUGCUAAGGUGAAGACCAAGUGUUGGAGGUGGUGGGCAAGAACAAGGCCAAGCUGGCAUGCUCUGGCAGUUCCAGUGAGAGAAGCCACAGAUGCUGAGAACGGUUGAGUUCUUUAAAAGCCACCCUGAGUUCCUGACUCCGGGUGCUGGCUGGGAACAAAAUUGAGCUUGUGGAUGAUUUCACAUUGGUGGACAUGCUCUAAAAUGUUCUCAGGUACAGAUGUUGGCUAGGUGGGUAAGCCUAUAUCAGUCCUGAAAUGUUUUUUAAAAAACGUUUUCACAUCAACCUUGUAUCUUUGAAGGCUCAAUGUGGAACCAUGUGAUUAUCUUGUUCAUCAUUUGGUCUCAGAGGCUUGGCUUAGAUUAUACAGGUAAAAUAUAUAUAUAUAUUUGCCAUUAAAUACAGCAGAAUCAUUGAGGGGUGUGAGCUGGUGUACAGAUGUAAAUUCACUGUUUUGCAGAUUUCUGAUGCCUUCAUUGUCUAAGUUUGCUGUCUGCCUAAGUGAUCAACAUCUGCAGAACAGUCCUCUGAUUGGUCAGAUCACUGACAUUUUGAAUCAAAAACUCUCCACAAAUUGAUGAUGUGAGGUACACAAAAAAAAGAUCACUUCCAGUAAUCUGUAAGUCCUUGAUAUUACAUAAAAUAAUUCUGGACAUGUCUCUGCAGGAUCCUCUACCAGUCACUCCAUUUCUACAACUGUGACUUAGCCUGGCUGCAAAACAUAGUCUAGUGGAACUAGUGAACUCAAGCAUAGACCCUUUCACCAAGCUGUUUGUUUCUCUUGGCCCCAUGGCAGGGCAAAACACCAACUCAUUGAUAAGUACUUCUCUUUCAGGCUGGAGAGUACAACACUGCUUUAGGCAGAGGAGUUUAAUGCCAGCGGGCCCUGGCUGUGGCAGAGACACUGAAGGAGAUUCAGCGUAGAAACCUGCAGCUGAUCCAAAGAUUGUGUCUGUAGUCUACAAGAACCUACAUGUUUUCAAGCCCAUUGAGAUAUCCAGGAUCACACAAACCCUGAUCCUGCUGCAUUACCAGAGUCCAGAGCUCUUCACUAAAUUAAGGAACAUCCUAGUUCAGACAGUGUCUACCCAUAUGAGGUGACCAUGCUACCUGGACUCGACGAAGGCGUAAUUUCAUGGGUGGAGGCAGUGCUGCUUCAGUGUAAUCUGAAUGAACCUUUGCAAUGGCUGUCGCUAAGUGGGUGAGCAAUGACCCGUCCUACUGACACAACACUCCCAGCAAGUAUGUGCGUCUGCGGCAGUCACUGAACCGCUGCGUGCAUGAGCGCCUGCGCAAGGCUGAGCGCCUGGACCUGGUGUUGGAGGAGCUCAAGUACAUGUCAGGGGAAUGGUUUGAGGAGAUUCUGCUGGAGGAGACCAUGGUUACGCUCCGGAGGCUGGAGAACCAGAUAUCUGGGCCAAUGUGCCCGAGAUGGCCCUUUUUCUGACCAUGACUAGUCACCGCUGUACUCCAUUAAUUGACCGCGUAGCUAGCAUGACCAUGGAGCACAUCAACAAGUACUCAGCAACUUUAUGCCACCGUGCUGCCCUUUGCUGUACUGAAUUAUAAUCUAGCAAGGGGGGAUGAGCUUUUUGACAUCUGCAUUCAGCACUUCAUACCUCACAUCAGUCUCUUUGACCUCAAUCUGCUGGUACUUGAUCCCAUCUGCUGCCUGUGGCUGAUUUCUUCCCGGAGGACCUGAUUCGAGAAAUCGUCAACGUGGAUUUCCUUGCCAAGCUGGACUCCCAGUUAGAAAGUUUGUUAUAUAAUUAUAUUAGAAAUAUCCCAAUGAAGACAAAGCCAGCUUCCUGUAUCCCCUACUAUCUGAAAACAUCCUUUUCAGAUAAAGAUAAAGGGAUAAGAGAACCUCUCUGUUAUGUGGUAGCCCUGCCUGACACCCAAAACAUGCGGAUCCGCCUGCGUCUCACGGAGCUGAAUCGGUCUGUGUGGUUGGAGUGUCCAGAGCGGAUUGGUGUUAAACUCAAAAGUGUUACUGUGGACGUCUUGGAUUCCAAAUCAUUCUACAAACUGUCUCGUCACAUGAAAGGGGAAAUCAUGAUGAGAAAGACAUCUGGAGAUUCUGGGAUACCAUGUUGUCCAGAUCCCUCAUUUUGAAUGGAACUCUAUGGAGCUCUCCACACUGGAUGCAUGGAAGGAAUACCUUAGGAAGAAGAUAGUUACUGAGCUUUCCUGAAGCACCUAGAUGUUGAAUCAAUGACACGUGUUAUAUUGCUUUUGCUACUGAUGUGAGAGACAAAGUCUGCCUGUGGAAAUGUAUUUUUGCAGGCAGAUCAUUAACAAUUGCUGUUAUUGCCGACUCCGAAUCCUAGAGUGGACAUGCAGUUAUCUCAUCUCCUGCCAAGAGAUUGUAUCAUAUGAAGUGUAACGUUUGUCAAACAAUAGUAAAUGUUUGUAAUAAGAAAUAGCAUUGUUUUUGUGGUUUUGAUACAUCCAAAUAAUCUGUCCCACAUAAAUAAAAUACAAAAAAAGUUGUAGGGAGCAAACUGUUUCUU